rnacentral:rRNA from 1 species
CGGGGAUAACAUUGCGAAAGUGAUGCUAAUACCGGAUGACAUCUAAUUUGCUUCGGCAGAUUAGAUCAAAGGUGGCCUCUAUAUAUAAGCUACUGAUUGGAGAUGAGCCCGCGUACCAUUAGCUUGUUGGUAGGGUAAUGGCCUACCAAGGCUACGAUGGUUAGCUGGUCUGAGAGGAUGAUCAGCCACACUGGAACUGACACACGGUCCAG